CAGCAGCCACGGUAAUACGAAGGGGGCUAGCGUUGUUCGGAAUUACUGGGCGUAAAGGGCGCGUAGGCGGCCAUUCAAGUUAGAUGUGAAAGCCCUGGGCUCAACCUAGGAAUUGCAUUUGAUACUGUUUGGCUUGAGUUCGGGAGAGGUGAGUGGAAUUCCCAGUGUAGAGGUGAAAUUCGUAGAUAUUGGGAAGAACACCAGUGGCGAAGGCGGCUCACUGGACCGACACUGACGCUGAGGCGCGAAAGCGUGGGGAGCAAACAGGAUUAGAUACCCCUGUAGUCCCUGUCUCUUAUAA
rnacentral:rRNA from 1 species